rnacentral:siRNA from 1 species
GGAGACAAUCUGUGUUCUGGGUAA